UGGAUGAACUCUGCUUUCCUGCUCACAGACGGCAGGGUCCUGUUGAGCCCCAGGAUCCUGUCUAGGUGGAAGGCAAACACCUCACUCAUGUCCAAGGGCUGCUUGAGAAGCCCACAGGGGCUAGGGCCACAGCGGAGCACAGCGCCAGGUGCGCCCCCCUCCAGCACCAGCAAACGGGCUCCGCUCCUAGAGGACACAGGCCGGAGCCCUGCCACUGCGCUGUCCGCCAAGAGUCGCAUUCUUCGGAUGUCAUCUUUGCUCAGCCAGGAGGGGGCGCUCUCGCUGUAGAUCCUAAUGUUGCUCUCCCUGGAGCUGGGCUGCAGGAAGUCUGGGCCCCCGGCUCGCACUCCCGGACCCCGCACCAACCUCCAGGGUCGCUCUCCAAUCUUAACCAGGUUUGCUCCCUGAGCGUACCCAGGUGCUACAGCAUCAGCUUCCCUUGCCGCUUCCUGCGGCUGAAGGGAUGGUCCGACCAAAGCCUCCUGCCCUGGGGCAGCCGAUGCCACUGCAUGCUUUUUCCUGCGCUUGGGCUUCACGGUGCCACGGAUAUUGGCCGGCUUGCUGCGCUUGGAGCGUAGGGUAAUGUACACCACAUUGGGCUGCAGAGUGGACCCAUUGCCCUGGGACUCUGGAGGGGCCAGGGUACCAUCCAGGGGUAUCUCAGGGAAGGAUGGCUCGGCGGUGUCGCGGCUGCGAUGUGGCCCCUUCUCAGCCGCCUGUCCAUGCUGGAGAGAGGCCCUCCCCACCUGGCUCACCAGGAAGCCCAAGUAGAUGGCACACGCAGUGCCCAGCAGAAGGUUUCUCCGGGUCCUUGGACGCCGGCUGCUCCAGAGCUUACGCACCCGCGGGACGCACAGGGAGCAGAUGAACCAGUUUAUGAGCUGCCCCGGCUUGUCUGGACAGGUCAUUUCUCUGCCGCAUCCACAUGUUGAACGGAGUUUAAAGUCUGCAGUUGGCUCCUGCUAAUGUGAUGCAUGGUUUCCUGACUUCAGCUGCCGCGUCCGCUUCGGGAGGAAAUGACCAGUGCUUUGGUUAAGAAUGCACAUUAUACUGCAGUUCUUUGG
rnacentral:lncRNA from 1 species